CCCGAAGAAAGACCUCCAGGCUGGCGCGAGGGAAACGGAGGAGCUGCAAGCCGCUGGGUUGUCACCGGGAAAAGGGGAGAGCCGUAGCGAGGCCUCCAGGCCCGGGAAGGCUGCGGGGUGGCGGGAGCUUCCGGCUCUUGCAAUGCCACACGGGAGAGGGAGACGAAGCAUUCUGUUCAGAAGAGCCCUUUGGACAUCCAGGGAAUGCAGGGCCUUCUCAAGAGCCGUACUUGGAGAACUGAAGAUUUUAUGGUUUAUGUGAAAAUCUGUCACAACCUUAGAACUCACUCAAAAAACAAGGAACCAGUACGAGGAGCCGUACUGACCAAGGAACCAAUCACUAUGGUGGUCGCAAAGGAACUGAAGUGCUGGUGCUUCCUCCCCCCUUAAAUAGCCAUGUGGUCACAUGGGGUGGGGUGCAAGCACCAAGCGGAGCUGUGUUACUCCACACCAACAGGUUUCAGCACAGGCGCAGAACCCAUUCUAAUGGAUUCAAUGGAUCACGCCCCAGAUCUUGAGGCUCUCAAACAGCAUUGGUAGAAGGGCAGAUGGUUCUCAGGGAAGAGUGAGAGAGGCACAGUGCAGUUCAAAGGAACAGUCCGUAAGCAGCUGAUAAAGAUUGGAAAGCCUAGAGAGAAGAUUUUCUGUGGAGAGGCAUAACCAUAAGUUAUGAAAGGUUAGGCAAGAGAUGAUAGGGAAAACAGUGGCUGACAUUUUGACUAAAUUACUCAAAAUUCCCACUGAAACACAAUACGUUAGUCAUGACUGGUGCUAUAAAAUUCAAUUAUAGCAAUUGCUUAUGAGCUUUCAGUACAAUAAAAAAGUAAAGUUGUGCUGUCAAGUCGGUGUCGACUCUUGGCAACCACAGAGCCCUGUGGUUUUCUUUGGUAGAAUACAGGAGGGGUUUAUCAUUGCCAUCUCCCGCGCAGUGUGAGAUGAUGCCUUUCAGCAUCUUCCUAUAUUGCUGCUGCUCGAUAUAGGUGUUUCCCAUAGUCUGGGAAACAUACCAGUGGGGAUUUGAACCAACAACUUCUUGCUCCCUAGGUAAGUUACUUACCCACUGUGCCAUUAGGUGGCUUACAUUAAAUAGUGUUGGACAAUAUAUAUUUGUAUACACAGUUAUCAGCAACCAUUUAUGUUAACUACAAAAUAAUAAAACCUGGUUAUUU